UACGGGGGGGGGCAAGCGUUGUUCGGAAUUACUGGGCGUAAAGGGCUCGUAGGCGGCCAACUAAGUCAGACGUGAAAUCCCUCGGCUUAACCGGGGAACUGCGUCUGAUACUGGAUGGCUAGAGGUUGGGAGAGGGAUGCGGAAUUCCAGGUGUAGCGGUGAAAUGCGUAGAUAUCUGGAGGAACACCGGUGGCGAAGGCGGCAUCCUGGACCAACACUGACACUGAGGAGCGAAAGCCAGGGGAGCAAACGGG
rnacentral:rRNA from 1 species